UGCUCCAGACUCACCAUCGGGAAGAAAGUCAGGACCACCGAGGCCACCGUGAUCUCCACCACGAGAAUGACAACCAUGGUCACGAGCAGGGUGGUGUAUAAACAUCGCAUUUCCUUCAUCCGUUCAUCUGGCAGUGGACAUACGGGCUGCUUCCAACAUCUCCCUAUCAUGAGUCAUGCUGCUGCGAACAUGGGGCACACGUGUCACUGUGGGAUUUUCAUGUGCUGCACUGUGCGCGGGCGGUGAUUACAACAGUGCUGUGUCAGCAAAGGACAGACACCUGGACCAGCGGGACAGAGAGCAGUGUGCCCAGGACAGACUCGGGCACAGUGGAAUGCCUCGUGUGGCAGAGGAAGCCUGGAUGGCCCCUUAGUACACGGGACAAUUUGUCACCUAACCAGGUGGGAGGACGUCACAGCUGAUCCCCACCUCACACCACACACAGACACGGUCACCAGAGGCUGAGGAGCUCAAGGUGAGAAACAAGGCCUCCGUUAGGAGAAGAUGAUUUAUGAACUCGGGGAAAGGAGGGACUUGAAACAGGAUGCCUUGUAAAGGGAAGAAGGAUACACCUGCAAAUUAAAACCUCAGUGAGACCCCA